GAACAUGUGUAUAGUCUCAUGCAAAUCAUCUUUUUAUUUCAUUUUUUAUUUUUGAGACGGAGUCUGACUCUUUUGCCCAGGCUGGAGUGCAGUGGCACGACCUCAGCUCCUCAGCUCACUGCAAUCUCCACCUCCCACUUCAAGCAAUUCUCCUGCCUCAGCCUCCCGAGUAGCUGGGAUUACAGGCAUGUGCCACUACACCCAGUUAAUAGAGACAAGCUCUUGCUAUG
rnacentral:lncRNA from 1 species